UACGUAGGUGACAAGCGUUGUCCGGAUUUACUGGGCGUAAAGCGCACGUAGGCGGAUUGGUCAGUUAGGGGUGAAAUCCUGGAGCUCAACUCCAGAACUGCCUUUAAUACUGCCAGUCUCGAGUCCGGAAGAGGUAAGUGGAACUCCUAGUGUAGAGGUGGAAUUCGUAGAUAUUAGGAAGAACACCAGUGGCGAAGGCGGCUUACUGGUCCGGUACUGACGCUGAGGUGCGAAAGCGUGGGGAGCAAACAGG
rnacentral:rRNA from 1 species